rnacentral:lncRNA from 1 species
AUGCAGCGCGAUGCUCUCGGCAGAAAUGCAACUUCAGCACUGGACAACUCCCGUUCGGCGGCGCGCGUUCAGCACUGGACAGCUCCGCUCCGCUGGGCUCUCUCUUUCUUUUUUUCCGCUCUCUUUAGUUCCGCUGGGACUCUUCACGACGAUCGUAUCUUCCAGGGAGCACGGAGGGCCCGUCGACUCAUGAGCGAGGUUAAAGACGCCAUGCGGCAACAUCUCAGAUUAAUACCCACGUCUCCGACCGUCAGCGAGAGAUUUACACACUCUCUGCAGUAAGAAAGAGGCAGGUGAGCGGAGCACCAGGCAGUUGGGUUACGAUGAUGUGUUAAUUAGUCCCUGACUGAUUCGCACACCGUGGGUAUCGUAGUAUGUGUGUGUUUGCACUGUCGGCUGUUUAUGGGUUUCCCUCGCUCCUGCAGGCAGACUGAAGCACUUGCUUUGUCGUACAGGACCCAGGACCGUACAGGACCCAGUGUUGUUGUUGUUUUAAGAAUGUCUUUAAAAAUGGCAGGUAGGACUGCAUCAGCACCCAGCAGGCACCUGGACUCUCAGCUGAGCGUCCAAGUUUAGCCCGAGGCACGACAGCGGAGAGAGUGUUUUGCUUUUGCAUGCACGUAUGCUCACAUUCACAGCUGCGAAAACAGAGCUGAAACUUCUUUUUCGGCCUGUCAUCAAAAGCUACACUGCAAGUAUGAACACUGGUAUAGAGUGAUCACACUGCUUUUCACCAUAGCAAGUACGAGAUAGGUGCUUUGCUUUUGUAAUGUCAACCAACUGUGAGCCAGACUGUCUUGACAGCUAUUGACUGCAUGAAAUGCAGAAAACUGAGAUUUGUGAAAUAUCACAACCAUGCAACUAGAGCUUUCUAUUGAUAAACAAGCCAAUUCUGCAUCACAAAAUGCCAUUAGUGCUUCAAACUGAUUUCAUACAUUGUUGUAGGUCCAUCAUCAAAAGCUCCUCUGCACACAUCAACUCUAGUAUUGAACGGUCAAAUUGCCGUAGUCUUUUCAACAUCUUCAUCUUAAAAGAUGAGAUGGCUG